rnacentral:tRNA from 1 species
CGUGGCCUAGUGGUUAAGCCGUUGGGCUAACAACCCCAUGGUCGUAGGUUCGA